CUAAAUGUGGUCGCACAUAAAUCGGGUAUGAUAAUCCAAACAUUUCAUCAUCUAAAUACCUGAGAGGGAGCCUGAGAAAUGGCUACCACAUCCAAGGACGGCAGCAGGCGCGAAAAUUACUCACUCCCGGCACGGGGAGGUAGUGACGAAAAAUACAAAUACGGGACUCAGUUGAGGCUCCGUAAUUCGAAUGAGUGCAAUCUAAAUCCUUUAACGAGGACCAAUUGGAGGGAAAGUCUGGUGCCAGCAGCCGCGGUAACUCCAGCUUCAAAAGCGUAUAUUAAAGUUGCUGCAGUUAGAAAGCUCGUAGUUGGGUCUGGGUUGUGCUGUCGCAUGCCGCUGCUUGUUCACGGUUUUGGUUAAUAUCAGGACGUGUUCAGCUCGGUGUAGUGGCUGUGCAGCCUUUCAGCCGUGUCUGUGUUAAACGGGUGCUGGUGGGUUGACGAGUUCGUCUUAUUGACCUGUCGGCAUGCUUCCGGAUGCCUUUAAACGGGUGUCGGGAGCGGACGGCAUCUUUGAACAAAUUUGAGUGCUUAAAGCAGGCCUGUGCGCCUGAAAUUCUUCUCUCUCUGAUUUCAGAUUCUGGUUUGUGUAGUUAGGACAGAAGGUCUACGGCCAUUUUAUUCCUUUUCUAGUAUGCUUCUG
rnacentral:ncRNA from 1 species